ANAGUUUGAUCCUGGCUCAGAGUGAACGCUGGCGGCGUGGAUUAGGCAUGCAAGUCGAGCGAUCUUUGUUGGACUUUUUGUUGAAGUGCUUGCACUGAUGUAAAAAGACCAACGCUAGAUAGCGGCAAACGGGUGAGGAACACGUGAGAAAUUUUCCCUAAAGUCAAACAUAGCUUCGUGAAAACGGAGGUAAUAUUUGAUAUGGUCCAGAAAUCGCAUGAUCUUUGGAUUAAAGGUGGGGACCCUUCGGGGCCUGCCGCUUUUGGAUGAUCUCGCGACCUAUCAGCUUGUUGGUGGGGUAAUGGCCUACCAAGGCAUUUGACGGGUAGCUGGUCUGAGAGGAUGGUCAGCCACACUGGGACUGAGACACUGCCCAGACUCCUACGGGAGGCUGCAGUCGAGAAUCUUUAGCAAUGGACGAAAGUCUGACUAUGCGACGCCGCGUGCAGGAUGAGGGUUUUCGGAUCGUAAACUGCUUUUGUCAGGAAAGAAACGUUAAUGGUUAAUAUCCAUUAAUUUGACGGUACCUGACGAAUAAGCCACGGCCAACUCCGUGCCAGCAGCCGCGGUAAUACGGAGGUGGCAAGCGUUACUCGGAAUUAUUGGGUGUAAAGGGCAAGUAGGCGGUCUAUUAAGUGAGGGGUGAAAUCUUCCGACUCAAUCGGAAAAUUGCCUUUCAAACUACUAGACUUGAGACUGGAAGGGGGAAACGGAAUUAGCAGUGUAAGGGUGAAAUCUGUAGAUAUUGCUAAGAACACCGGCGGCGAAGGCGGUUUCCUGGUCCAAGUCUGACGCUAAAUUGCGAAAGCUAGGGUAGCAAAC
rnacentral:rRNA from 1 species